CAAGGAAAAAAGAUUGAUGAUGCCCUCUUAUCUACUGAAACUACCGAAGCUCAAGGUUUUGUUUUUGAGGGUGGGGAUGAUUAAGCAACAGUCAUCUACAGGGAUGACGGUGAGGAGGAGAUGUAUAGUACAAUGAUGUUAGGGGGUGUCACUGGAGAAGCAAUGGGAGGCAAUGAACUGACUGAACCACGUAGAAGUGCCAGAAUAAGACAAUUAUAUGAAGAAGAGUUUGAUUCUGAAGAAGAGGAGUUCGAUGACGAGGAGGAGAUGCAUUCAGAGGAUCAGAAUGAUUGUUGA
rnacentral:rRNA from 1 species